rnacentral:misc_RNA from 1 species
AAGCAAUGCUCUGAGAUACAGGUGUGUUCUACUAGUUGUCUUAAUUCAUUGUAAAUACUUCUGUUCUUCCAGGCAUGAUAGGAUACCUUCUUUUGUUUUCCAGUCCAGUUUUGAAAUAAAAUAGGACCACAUCAUUAGUUGUAUGACACCUGUAUUCCUGCAGUGGGAUAUGGCCCAACUUGAAAACGUUAAGAAAUGUUAAUUAAAUAAGCCAGGCUCUAUGAUCUCUUCUGGAUGAAAAUGGUCAUGUGCGAUAUACUCAUGUCACUGAUACCAAAUGUGUUGUAUAUUAAACUAAACAUCAAACAAAUAAAGCCUGCAAAGAACCUAAAAGUGAAAGAAUAUUAUGAACUGCAAUAAUGUUAUAACAGAUUCAGAUAGGCAAGUGAGUUGAGCUGAAAAAUUGCUGCCACUGAUAAAUCUACUGGUAACCCCCUGUGCUCUGUCCCACUUUCUUUAUGUUGGCUUAUAGAAUUGAUCAUGUUCUUUCCUAGGCCAGAACCCAUUUUUCCAGAAUAUCAUUUUAUUCUCAAGUCAUUUGUUAUGCUCUAUUUUAUCAUUCUUAUAUUUCAUUUGCUGCUAGGCAAAUUAAAAUUGCCUUGUACUGGAACUGCCAUCCUCACUCACAGUAUACGUAUGUGCUGGGCAUCUUAGAUGUCAUUCAAUUUUUUGUCAUAAUGCAGUUUGACAGGCUAGCCAUUACCACCUCUGUGGGAAGAAUUUUAAACUGAAGAUUGAUUUGAUGGUUUGUAUUUUUGUCUCUCAGAAUCUUCUUGGUCGGA